rnacentral:rRNA from 1 species
UGGGGAAUUUUGGACAAUGGGCGAAAGCCUGAUCCAGCAAUGCCGCGUGUGUGAAGAAGGCCUUCGGGUUGUAAAGCACUUUUGUCCGGAAAGAAAUCCUUGGCUCUAAUACAGUCGGGGGAUGACGGUACCGGAAGAAUAAGCACCGGCUAACUACGUGCCAGCAGCCGCGGUAAUACGUAGGGUGCAAGCGUUAAUCGGAAUUACUGGGCGUAAAGCGUGCGCAGGCGGUUUGCUAAGACCGAUGUGAAAUCCCCGGGCUCAACCUGGGAACUGCAUUGGUGACUGGCAGGCUAGAGUAUGGCAGAGGGGGGUAGAAUUCCACGUGUAGCAGUGAAAUGCGUAGAGAUGUGGAGGAAUACCGAUGGCGAAGGCAGCCCCCUGGGCCAAUACUGACGCUCAUGCACGAAAGCGUGGGGAGCAAACAGGAUUAGAUACCCUGGUAGUCCACGCCCUAAACGAUGUCAACUAGUUGUUGGGGAUUCAUUCCUUAGUAACGUAGCUAACGCGCGAAGUUGACCGCCUGGGGAGUACGGUCGCAAGAUUAAAACUCAAAGGAAUUGACGGGGUCAUAGCUGUUUCCU